GAUGAACGCUGGCGGCGUGCCUAAUACAUGCAAGUCGAGCGAACAGACGAGGAGCUUGCUCCUCUGACGUUAGCGGCGGACGGGUGAGUAACACGUGGAUAACCUACCUAUAAGACUGGGAUAACUUCGGGAAACCGGAGCUAAUACCGGAUAAUAUAUUGAACCGCAUGGUUCAAUAGUGAAAGACGGUUUUGCUGUCACUUAUAGAUGGAUCCGCGCCGCAUGAGCUAGUUGGUAAGGUAACGGCUUACCAAGGCAACGAUGCGUAGCCGACCUGAGAGGGGGAUCGGCCACACUGGAACUGAGACACGGUCCAGACGCCUACGGGAGGCAGCAGUAGGGAAUCGUCCGCAAUGGGCGAAAGCCUGACGGAGCAACGCCGCGUGAGUGAUGAAGGUCUUCGGAUCGUAAAACUCUGUUAUUAGGGAAGAACAAAUGUGUAAGUAACUAUGCACGUCUUGACGGUACCUAAUCAGAAAGCCACGGCUAACUACGUG
rnacentral:rRNA from 1 species